GACGAACGCUGGCGGCGUGCUUAACACAUGCAAGUCGAACGGUAAGGCCCUUCGGGGUACACGAGUGGCGAACGAGUGAGUAACACGUGGGUGAUCUGCCCUGCACUUCGGGAUAAGCCUGGGAAACUGGGUCUAAUACCGGAUAGGACUCCUGGCUUCAUGGUUGGGGGUGGAAAGCUUUUGCGGUGUGGGAUGGGCCCGCGGCCUAUCCGCUUGUUGGUGGGGUAAGGGCCUACCAAGGCGACGACGGGUAGCCGGCCUGAGAGGGUGACCGGUCACACUGGGACUGAGAUACGGCCCAGACUCCUACGGGAGGCAGCAGUGGGGAAUAUUGCACAAUGGGCGCAAGCCUGAUGCAGCGACGCCGCGUGAGGGAUGACGGCCUUCGGGUUGUAAACCUCUUUCAGCUAUGACGAAGCGCAAGUGACGGUAGUAGCAGAAGAAGGACCGGCCAACUACGUGCCAGCCGCCGCAGUAAAAC
rnacentral:rRNA from 1 species